CCGAGGAGCGGCGACAAGAGCAGGUGCAAAGUACUGCUGACCAUGCCUCUCAGAGGACCAAUCCCAAAUUUCGAAUUCAAGAGCGGAUUCGGGACGCCGAAGCGCGAGCAACUCAUCGCGAGGACCCAGAAGAACGUGCAAGGGAACAGGAAAGGAACACUGGAGAGCACCGACAGCGACGAAGGGAUGCGGAAAACAUGCAGCAAGAACGGGAAAGGGACGCCGAUUACAGGAGAGAAACCAGGAGAAACCCCAUCGCAAGAACCCAGGAGCAACGGAUAAACACAUCACAACGCCGGGAAACACGACAACAGAGGAGGAUUCGGGAAGAACAAAUUCGACAAAUGGCAGAGGAUCGAUUAAUAAACUUCAGGAUGGACCCCUAAAAUCGACUAGAUGCCUCCCAAAGGCAGUCUCAACGAAACAUGGACGCAAGAGCUCGGAGGAAGAACUGGAAUAGGAACGAGAACAACAGCGAAAUAGGAUUCGAGUAUCAGCGAGGGAUCUUUAUCACAGGAACAUAAAGGAAGGACCAACGGAAAUUUGUAUUUGCUGUGGAGGAACCUGGUUCCGUACGCAGCAAGGACCGAAGAAGGACUAGUCAAGCCUGUGGUGAUUAUAACUUCCGAUGGUGGCCCUGAUGAAAAUCCCAGGUAUGGGAAGGUUAUUUCCCAUGCAUUACAAUACUUUAAGGCAUACAAUUUAGAUGCAACUUUUGUUGUCACAAAUGCUCCAGGAAUAAGUGCUUUAUACAAGUCGAAAGGAGAAUGGCCCCACUAAGCCGGGAAUUGUCUGGCUUGAUUUUGUCGCACGACAUGUUUGGAAGCCAUUUGAAUAACCAAGGCAGAAGGCAGAAAUUUUGUAUUCUCUGGGGGAACAUUGGCCAAUGUUUGGGGCAGCAGGGUUCUCGAUGACUUUCCUGUAACUGCCAAAUAUUGUCUACCUAAAGAAGAAGAGGCAGAACUGGAUGACAUAGAUCAGUACAUGUUCGAAAGAGUCAAUAUUUUCUGCAGAUUGUGAAAUGUCGUUCUGAAGAAUGUUGUGGAGAAUUUAGAACUACUACUGGACUACUUCAAAUUCUACCUGGUAGAUUAUUUCCUCCUCCUCCUCCUCCAAUACGUGUUGUUCAGGAUGUCUCUGAAAUAAUCGUUUCCGAGAACAUUUCUGGAUCAAUAAAUAAACACAACAAAUAUUUGCAGAUUCCCUUCGACUUGAAUUGUCCGUCGGUGUCCGUCGGUUAAGCCAACUUAAAAAACGCAUGAAAAACGUGUGGGUUGUAUUUUGCAUCACAAAAAUCAGCUACUCGGCACGCAAUAAUUCACA